rnacentral:rRNA from 1 species
GUGUCAGCAGCCGCGGUAAUACGAAGGGGGCUAGCGUUGUUCGGAAUUACUGGGCGUAAAGCGCACGCAGGCGGUUCGAUCAGUCAGAAGUGAAAGCCCCGGGCUCAACCUGGGAACUGCUUUUGAUACUGUCGAGCUUGAAUCACGGAGAGGGUAGUGGAAUUCCGAGUGUAGAGGUGAAAUUCGUAGAUAUUCGGAAGAACACCAGUGGCGAAGGCGACUACCUGGCCGUCGAUUGACGCUCAUGUGCGAAAGCGUGGGGAGCAAACAGGAUUAGAUACCCUGGUAGUCCACGCCGUAAACGAUGGGUGCUAGUUGUUGGGGUACAUGUACCUCAGUGACGCAGCUAACGCGUUAAGCACCCCGCCUGGGGAGUACGGCCGCAAGGUUAAA